UAGCUGAUACAAGGCUGUGUACAUUGAGCACAGGGUUCUUUGAGGUGACAUUCUUAUUGGCAGACAGAACAUAAAACCAAUUCAGGAACUGGAUAUUACUGUUUUCUGUGGAGAUGUGAGAUAUUAUAUAUACUGUAUUGAAUAAAAAUAGAAACUGCUGGAUGAGAUCCUCAUCACUUUGAAAAAAUCAAAAGAACUACGAAAACUGCAAUGUUUAGCAGCACCAUCAGUGACCUGAAGCAUUCUAGCAUGCCUGUGAUGCAUCUGACAUCUGCAAGUUGCUGCUUGUAUACUUCAAGAAAAUCUUUGAUUCAGGAAAAGCACAGAAUAAACCUAUUACUUGAUUCUUAUGGAAGCCCGG